GUCUGGGAUAGCUCAGAUAGUAGAGCAUGAGACUCUUAAUCUCAGGGUUGUGGGUUCAAGCCCCACGUCGGGCA
rnacentral:tRNA from 1 species